UGGAGACCGGUGACUGCCACAGACACGGGCACGGUCCUCGCCCCCAUAGUCAAACGCUAGCCUCGAGGCCGCCCUACAGUCCGACACACACCGCUCCCGCCGCCACAAGCCAGCCAGGCGGGCAUCGGAUCCCCGGGCCGCAGGCUCCCUAGCGUUCCGCAGCGCCUUGGAGCAAUAUGCGCUAAGUGAACGAUUCCACACGAUGAGAGGUUACUGCAGCGCACACGAUAAUGCCCGCCAUGGAAGGGACCUGCGACCUGAAGUCAGUUCUUUUUACGCUAAUGGAUGAAAGACUAACGAACGCUACAGGGGAACUCUGCUCCGGCUACCCCGGCAACUAGAGGCCCGACCCGGAAGUCCUACCAGCUUACCUAGGCGCCGGCGACCGCCUCCAAGAUGGCGGCUGCAGUGGGCGGGUCCAAGGCACGUGGAAACACCAAACAGCCCCAAAUGAACGCAAGUUAAAGAUGCAGAACAUGAGGAUACAGAGGGCCAGCUGUAAACUCUGACAAGCUGUCACAAACCAGAGGAAACUAGAGAGCUGUGACAACUAAAUGCAGUGUGGGACACUGAAGAGGAUCCUGGAAUAGAAGGGUACGUUAGGAGGAAAGAUCCAUGUUUCCAUGAUGUCAUCAAAGAUCAACACUCUAAGUUUCCACAUUAUCAUCCUUAAGAAGUUGGCUAUUCACGUUUCUGUUUGUUUCCUCGUGGUCUCAAGGUAGAUGCUGCAGCUCCAGGCAUCACGCUCUCAUACAAUGGCAUUCAAGACAGUUAUGGAGACUUUCCUUUUAUGAGGAAGGAAAUGGAGACUUUCCUUUUAUGAAGGAGGAAAUAAUACAUACUCCCAUUUUUUACAUGACAGUUAACAAAGAUUCUCUCCUUGACCAGUGAACUCCAGACACAUUCCUCUGAGCACAAAUCCUAUUUAAACUACAGAUUCUCAACACAAAUGAUUUUAUCCACCCAUGUCCCCCAACAUUAAAAGACUUAAACA